AUGGACCGAAGUGCAGCAAACUGUCCAAGCUGUUUCAAUGCUGCAUAUUCGCAAAGAGCUGGAGGGAAAGGAGAGGGUGGUUUGCGAGAUGACUCCACGCAAACAUCCAGCGAGCCCUGCUGGCAGCUCCAACCUCUUCUAAACAACUUCUGGACCCUGUGUAAACAGUCUUCUGCUUUUAUAAACACAGCAUCCAGAUCGUGGAGUGGAAAAAAGCUGAAGCCGUCACGUGAAGGGAAGAUGUAUUGCUUCCGGCAGCUUAAUUGAAACCAACCAUGGAGAACGAAUUCAAGGUGUAUAGGGAAAACUUCAUCCAUUGCCCGGAGGAAAUGUGCUGCAUCUGUGUGAGAUUCUUUCAUUUCUCCUUAAAAACUGCUCUGAGUACAUGUAACGUUUCUUAUAAUUUUAUUGACCCGGUUAUCGUGAGUUCGGUUCAUCCACAAUCUCUGUGCUCUGCCUGCCCCAUCAGCACCAUCCCACUGCUGUCAGCCCCGAACUGAACAAAACUUAGGAUACAAGUAGACAUUUGUUCUUCUAAACACAGACAUUUCCAUUUGGGCCUUUCUCCCUGGAAGUGCUCUUUGGGGCUGGGCUUGGUGGUGCCUGAAAGCGUGGCUGUUUUUUAAGUAAGAGACCAAAUCUCAUUAAGUCUGGGAUCCCUUUAAAUGCCAUCUUGAGAGCAGUAUUUCAAAUAGCCAGCUAAGCCCUCCCCACAUGGCACUAACCCAACUCUGAUAGUGACAUUUAAAAUUAAUCUGAACCAUCCCAUCCCCAGCGAGGACACCGCAUGCUGCCCUCUGAAGUGCAGCUAUGUGAGCGCCUGCAGCAGAGCAAAGAAACCCCCAGACCUGUGGGGUGGGUGCUGGUCCCAGGCUGUGGGGUUCCAGGUGAUGGGAUGGGCUGUAGGCACGGGAGUGGUGAUUGGGAGCUCAUGCAAAACCCUUGUUCAGAGAUCCUGUGAAGGUUUUGAGAAAUAUCCCCCUUGUCAUAGAAUGGUUUGAGUUGGAAUGGACCCACAAAGGCCACCUGGUCCCACUGCCUGCAAUGCACAGGGACACCCACAGCUCCAUCAGUGCACAGAGCCCUCCAGCCUGACCCUGGUGGUCUGCAGGGGUGGGGCACGACCACCACCACCCUGUGCAGUGCCUCACCACCCUCACUGGAAACAUCUUCUUCCUUAUACCCAGCCUAAAUCUCCCCUCCAUUAGUUGGAAACCAUCUCUCCUUGUCCUGUCACAAGAGACCCCAGAGUCUGUCCCCUUCUUUC
rnacentral:lncRNA from 1 species